rnacentral:rRNA from 1 species
GACGAACGCUGGCGGCGUGCUUAACACAUGCAAGUCGAACGGAAAGGCCCUGCGUUUGUGGGGUGCCCGAGUGGCGAACGGGUGAGUAACACGUGAGUAACCUGCCCUUGACUUUGGGAUAACUUCAGGAAACUGGGGCUAAUACCGGAUAGGAGCUCCUGCUGCAUGGUGGGGGUUGGAAAGUUUCGGCGGUUGGGGAUGGACUCGCGGCUUAUGAGCUUGUUGGGGGGGUAGGGGCUUACCAAGGCUUUGACGGGUAGCCGGCCUGAGAGGGUGACCGGCCUCCAUGCUCCUGCGGUACGGCCCAGACUCCAACGGGCGGCAGCGGUGGAGAGUAUUGCAGAGUGGGCGGAAGCCUGAUGCAGCAAUCCCGCGUGCGGGAUGACGUCCUUCGGGUUGUAAACCGCUUUCGCCGGAGCCGAAGCGUGAGUGACGGUAAUUGGUAAAGAAGCACCGGCUAACUACGUG